rfam:Tupaia chinensis contig207509, whole genome shotgun sequence.
GUGCUCACUUCAGAAGCCCACACAUUAAAACUGAAAUCUUCAAGAUAUUAGCAUGGUCCUUGCACAAGGAUGACAUGCAAAUUUGUGAAGUAUUCCUCAUUUUU